GAUGAACGUUGGCGGCGUGCCUAACACAUGCAAGUCGAACGGGAAGCCGAUUUCGGUCGGCAGAGAGUGGCGCACGGGUGCGUAACACGUAGCUCACCUGGCCCGAAGCGUGGGAUAACGCACCGAAAGGUGUGCUAAUACCGCAUAAGCUCACGAUCUGUAGAGGGUUGUGAGAAAACUAAGGUGCUUCGGGAUGGGGCUGCGGCCCAUCAGCUAGUUGGUGCGGAAAAGCGUACCAAGGCGACGACGGGUAGGGGCCUGAGAGGGU
rnacentral:rRNA from 1 species